rnacentral:rRNA from 1 species
UACGUAGGGUGCAAGCGUUGUCCGGAAUUAUUGGGCGUAAAGAGCUCGUAGGCGGUUUGUCGCGUCUGCUGUGAAAAUCCAGGGCUUAACCCUGGACCUGCAGUGGGUACGGGCAGACUAGAGUGCGGUAGGGGAGAUCGGAAUUCCUGGUGUAGCGGUGAAAUGCGCAGAUAUCAGGAGGAACACCGGUGGCGAAGGCGGCCCCCUGGGCCGGCCCUGACACUGAGACGCGAAGGCGUGGGGAGCGAACGGG